GGGGUCGUAGCUCAAUUUGGUUAGAGCGCCUGCCUGUCACGCAGGAGGUUGCGAGUUCAAGUCUCGUCGAUCCCG
rnacentral:tRNA from 1 species